UACGGAGGGGACUAGCGUUGUUCGGAAUUACUGGGCGUAAAGCGCACGUAGGCGGAUUUGUAAGUCAGGGGUGAAAUCCCGGGGCUCAACCCCGGGACUGCGUCCGAUACUUCCGAGCUGGAGGUAGGUAGGGGAGAUCGGAAUCCUGGUGUAGCGGUGAAAUGACGCAGAGUAUCAGGAGGAACACCGGUGGCGAAGGCGGAUCUCUGGGCCUUACCUGACGCUGAGGCGCGAAAGCUAGGGGAGCGAACAGG
rnacentral:rRNA from 1 species